AUGUCACCGUGCAGCCAGCACAGGUUUCCUUUCUGAGCCAGCCCAUCCCAGCCAUAAAACUCCCUGCCAAGGCAAAUUGGAUUAAGCUCAGAUCAGAUUGUGUGAGAGCUGGGCUGUGGGGACUUUUCACUCUGGCCUUUCUUCAGCAAAAAGAGCUCCAGAGGCUCAGCGUGACAACAAGAGGGAAAAAGGGAGAGAGCCUGGAGCCAUGAAGAGAAAACUGGGCUCCCAGGGAGAGGAGAACAAAGGGAGAUAAGAUGCAAGCCCUGAAACAUAGUGGCUGACGGAGGUGGCCCAUCAAAAACCAUCUAUAUGAAACCAAAACUACAUCCAGAUUGAGAGAAGAUGGCUCAGACGUUCUGCAGGCAGAUUAUACAAGCAUGUGGAAGGCAA